rnacentral:lncRNA from 1 species
GGAAGGGAGGGGGGGAAACAGAACAUCCUGCUUCCUUUUCCUCAGGUAACCACUCCAGAUUUGGAGAGCUUUGCUGCUCGGCCCUCCGUGGAAGUGGGCGGCAGGGCUCUACUGUCCCCCGCAACUCCUCACACGCCCGGCGCCAGACACAGCUCCCGAGAAAGCUUGAGGAAGGUAGCGGGGACCCGGCUCAGCUGCUGUCGCUAUAGGGACAGGGGAUUGCAAAGCCGCCUCCCCAGAUCCUGUCCUCGCGGCAGCAGCCACUCCCACGCCAGUCUGGUGCUGCCAGCCUCGAGUGUGGAGGAUGCCCUGCCACCGAGUCGUUUAACCUCCCCCACCCCGCCCCGCGUUAUCGCCCGGGCUCCCUUCUUCUGCAGCAUCGAGGGCCCAUGGAGGGUGCGAGGGGCGGCAGCCUGGCUGCUGUCCCGGGGCAGCGGCACGAAAGCAGCUCACAGCGUCGAGGGACACCGAAUCCCUGACCACCACCCCCGCUCCUGGGCCCGCUGCAGUGCCCGCGGCUCUGACGGGGACACGAGGCUCCCCAGGGCUGAGACAGGCGGGAGGACGGGGGCUCUGCUCCGCCGGGGCGGAAGCGGGUGGGAAGCGGGCGGGAAGGCGCCGGGCGGCGGGAGGCGGCUGCACCCGACCGUCCCCGCCGCCGAAGGUUCUGGACCGCCCCCGCCGACGCCGGGAUGGGGGGUGGGAGUGGAAGCCGGGAAGGGGCGGGGACCGGCGAGGGCACGCGCAGGAGAUGCAGAAGCCGAAAAUUUUCCAUCUCUGCAGUCUUCCCCCCGCCCCCAUUCGGCGCGAACUGUCCUCAUUUUAUAUAGAAAACGAUGAUGAGGCUUCGUUGCUCCUUUAUGAGAAGAAAGAUUGGUAAAAUGCAUCCAGGAAGAAAAAUUACUGUAUUUAUAAUGGCCCCAUUAUUGUAACUCUGCAACAUGUGAGUGCAAUCUGCACUGCUCCAAAAUACUGAGUCUUUAAAAUUUUACCCAUGCAGUCUGUUUGCUGGUUCAAAUGAUCUGCUUUUUUCAAGUGGUUUUAAGUAAUGCCUCACUGAUUGAAUUAUAAUUUUCCUGAUUUUUGUAAUUGCCAAGAAUGUCCUUGGCAAAACAUACAUAGGAUGUGUUUCAUCCAAUUUUGAAAUGUAUUUUGUAAUCGGAAUAAUAAAAGUUAAUAUUCAUCAGUUCCUCCCA